ensembl:lncRNA
GUGGUGCAGUCAGGUUGCAACCUUGAAACUUGUAAUACGUUUGGCUAUCAUGAGGUGAACUCCAGAGUUUGUUGUUAGACAGACCCAAAAGGUUUUGUCUCAGGCAGUGCUUCAGUAGUGUGCUGGUUUUUCUUUUCCCAGCAUGUGUGAAGUUUUCAUCAGGAAUGAAGCCUUAGAAAGUCUCCCUUCUCAGAGCAAACUCCCAGAGACUUUGGAGAUGUCAUAAACCUCUCUCUGGGGCUAUUCCUCGUAUAGUUUUAGUUGUUAAACUGUUCUUGAAGGUAAAAUAAUCUUUCCUUCUAGGCUUCCAGCCUUUAUCAGAAAGGCAGCAGUUUGAUAUCCUGUGGUGGUUUUAUCAUAAAGGUUUUCUGUAGAUAGGUUAACAAAAGACCUUAAAGGCGGCAGAAAUUAGCUAUCAGUUUGCAAGUGCUCUGAAACUGUUGUGUAGUGGUAUUUAAACUAUACUUGUUUCAUUGAGAUAGGAGGGCUUGUAGUCUGGAGAAGAUGGAGCUUAACUCAUGCCUUAAUUCUUCCCCAAAUACAAACGAAAACUUGCCGCCAUUUUACCAUUUAACGACGGUAUCUUUGGUACGUGUAAAAUGUACAUAUCCAGCCUUUUUUGUAACUUAGGCCUUUGUAACAAAUAUAAGAGGUCUCAUGGAUGGAGAUGAUGUUUGCAUCCCUCUUAUGGACGAUCUGUUGUUUAGGAACUUUGUCAUUUCAUUGUAGGAUUUCAUGUUUGAGGGAAUAGCUGAGUGAGUACACAGACAGAGCUGGGUGUAGAGCUUUGGCUGUUCUGCCUCCUUAUGGUGGGUGCUCAGACUGGUUCUGUGGAGGGAAAGAUUGCUUUUUUUCUUCCCACCUGUCGCAUUCUUCAGUUGUUUAAGAAGUCUGAGAAGUCUGUUUCUUCAUUGGUUUUUUUUUUUUUUUUGAGAAGUAUAUUACAGUGGUUGGCAAAGUUAUUAAACGACCAGUUCUGAACUUCACAGUUUGAAGAUGGAAGAGGGAAACUUUUUUUCCUUCUGAUUCUGACCAGAUUUAUUUGCGUGGUUCCUUGGCCUCUUCAGCAGUGCUUUGCUAUAAAUCAAAGUAAAUGAAGUUGAACAAAAAGUCCAUAAAAACUCAUGUCCCAGAUUCCUCUGGUGGAGUUUAAAACACAGUUGAAUGCUGACAACUCUUCUUCACAGCAGUAUCCCAAGAUGCUCAACCUCUACUUCAUUCUCUCCAAAUAUCUUGAUUUCCAACUGUCUCAUUCUAGCUGCACCAUUGGUAAACAUGCAGAAAUAACUCUGUUGUCUGUACAAGCCUGUUUGAGCCCGCUGCAGGACAAGAGAUUUAUGUUAAAGUUGACAUGCUUCUCAGGGAGCAAAUGGUGUUUUCCCAUCAUGUUUGUUAUUAUUAUGACAACAUGCAUUUGAGAUUGUUUCAGGUGGCAUUCCUGAAAAGGGGUGAUCUUUCAGGUUGCCGAGAAUCAAGCUGUUGAGAAUUUUAUAGGUUAAAAGUUAGUGUUUAUUUAAGCAUCAUUUGGAAACCGGUGGUCAUUCAGGGUACAUUAUGGAACAGUAGAGUCAUGUGCUUCUCAGCAGGGGAUGCUGCUUAAUGAUGGCACUGCAAUGUCCUGUAUUUGGGAGGAGCGGACUUGCAGUGAAGGAACGGUCUCUUUCUACAGUGUGAACAGGGAACUGCUUUACUCAGGCUUUUACAAAUAAAUGAAUCUCUGGAAUAAGAUCCUUCGCUCACUCACACUUUCCUCUUUUUUCCCUGCGGUAUCAGAAAUGGACACUUCAGGAUACUUUUUACAAGUCUGCUAACUUGAAAGAGCAACUAUGUGUAACCACAUAUGAAAUUAGAGUGUUUGAAAAGGACAAAAAUCCUUCCAAUAAAAAUCUUGGAGAAGUGUUAGCUGUAUUGAAAGCAAAGCAGAAUAACUGCUAUAGUUAUCUGAUGAUAUUUUUUAACCGAGUAGAUAAUGUACAGAUGUCAGUGGAUUUUCACUUAGUGAUGGUUUGAAACCCUCAGUAAGAUAAUGCGUAUUAUAAUGGUAGAUUUAUAUAAAAAAAAAAUACAUGAUGUGUGCAUGGGGGGAAUAUUGUUUUCUGUAACAAAGCCAUCAGAACUUGAUGGGGAAGAAAAGUUGUAUAUGUAUACAUCCAUAAGGUUUUUCUGAGGCGGAGAGGUCAGACACCCAGAUGCACAGGUCUGCAGAGCUAUGCUCUUGUUGUUCAUGGGAGCUGUGCAAACACAAAGCUUCUCUACGCUCAGCUGGUGCAUGGCCCUGUGCUUUCUGAUGUGACUUUAUGAUACAGACUUCAGCAACACCUGGUAUUUUAGUCCAGUGAUGAGAGUGUAUUUUACAAAACGUGAGUGUAAACAUUGCAUGGCUUUGGACUUCACUUUUCGGUGCUGUGGAGCGUUCCUAAGAAUAAGAGCGUUUUGCUUCAUCAGAAUUACUGUUUCCCUCUGGUUUAUUUGCUCAUAACCAAAUUCUGCUCUGUAAUUUUGUUAUUAUUAUUUGCUCAGAAUCGGGCUCAUAUUUUUCCUUCAAAUGAACACACGUCGCCUGUACUCCUGCUGAGAUGAUUAUGCAUAACACCUCUGACUCAGCAGAUCAAAAGUUAUGUUUGUUGGAAAACAGAAUUAAUAUUUUAUAUUUUUUCAACAGCUUAAAAAUAGCUGUGUCGAAAGAGAUUAUGCUUUUAACAUGCUAAUCCAUUAAGCCAUCGUACAUCAUUCUGCAGGGAGUGUUUUUAUGCCAGGCAGCUGUCUCUUACCAGAGUCCAUCUGAAAGGUUUCAGGUUAUCGCAGGAAUACACCCAUAAACCCGAGAGAGGCUUCUUUAAUAGAAUGUGUGAUGUGAGCAUAAUCAAAUGGCAGCCUUUUUUCCAGGAAUUGUUUUCCAUGUCAGUGUUGUUUGGCCUGUUUUAGGGCAUUCUGGCUAUUUUGAGACAAAUAGAUGAUUUAAGGCGGCAUUUGCGAAAAGCUUUUCUCAGACAGGGGAUGUUAACAGUUCCUAAUUUGAAUGUGGAGUAUUACGUUGUGAUAGCCAAAUAUCUGAGUGGCUUACUUUCCUGAUUACAUGAAAGAUAAAGAGUGAUGAAAAUUCGUGCCAGAUGGAUUGGAGACUGGGAAAUGCAUCGGAAUGGAGGUGCACAAAGGUUGGAAGCAGCAGCACCGACCGUGCAGAAACAUUUGUGAAGCGCGCAAAAUGCAACUGGAAAGUUAAGCUGUCUUAUCUUCUGACUUCAGGAAUCCUGCGUGUUACGCUUGUAAGAACAGUAGGUAGGGGUGUGAGAUGGAAAUUUGGCUGUGGGUUUACUGCUGCUGCAGGCACCAGUCACUUCUUUAGCUGUUAAAUAUUAAGAGAAGGAAUUUGCUUCUAGUCAGAUACCUAAAAUUUGCUGAAACAGCUUAGCAAUGGCAAUUUAAUUUUGCUUUACAAGUGUUAAGUCAGAAUGGUACAACAUAAGAUAUCGAGUAGUGAUGACUAAAUGUAUCUGCUCUGGCUGGUUGUAGAACUUUAUUUGAAGUUAUCUGCCAGGUUAGGGUGCUUGAAAAUGUGCUGCUGCCUGACUGGUGAGCUGGGAUGUUGCUAUGAUUUCCUAUAGGCAAGUGAUCUGUAAAGAACAUUUUCAGACAAGCUUGGCUGUACUUAAAACUGGUAGAGUUAGGUAGGGCUUGACACACUUCUUCCUUAGGCGCACUGAGAAGCAUUCUGCAGCUUGGGCCAAUGUAUUUUUGAGCUGGGGAAGUGUGUAAUGUUAUAUAAUGUAAAAGAAUCCUCACUUCUGAUGGGAUUAGCUCUGUAACUUGAAGUAUGGCUCUGUGGUGGUUUUUUUGUUGUUGCUGUUACACAGGUACUGUGGCUAUAUGUGUAACUACGAUACUCUGUGUUGUGCAGCCAUUGCAAAGAGCAGUGAGACAGGGAGAUAUAUGAGGGACAGGAUGAAUAAGGAGAGACAGGGAGAAUAUGGGAACAAAGGUAGCAUGUGGUGUAGGGCAAGUGGGACAUCGUAGGGCCUACACCAAGUAUGCAGCGACAGCCCAAGGAACUAAGAAACUGUGGAUUGCUAUAAGUCUGUCUACUGUUCGUGUGUGAAAAUACUUCCUAUAGAGUGUAUAUAGUUUGUUGAUGAUUGUAAUGCUUUCAACAAGGAGUUUUGUGGUGCUGCACCGAAGUAACUAUGCCAGUCUUUAUGUAAAGUGUUUUUAAGUAGACUGUUGAAAAGACGGCAUUCCAAACUGCCACGGUUUGAAAACCUGAUAAGGAAGGAAUCAUUGUGAAUUGUUUUGUUUCAAA